GACGAACGCUGGCGGCGUGCUUAACACAUGCAAGUCGAACGGAAAGGCCUAGCUUGCUGGGUACUCGAGUGGCGAACGGGUGAGUAACACGUGGGUGAUCUGCCCCUGACUUUGGGAUAAGCCUGGGAAACUGGGUCUAAUACCGGAUAUUCAUUUUUCCUCGCAUGGGGAUUCGUGGAAAGCUUUUGCGGUUGGGGAUGGGCCCGCGGCCUAUCAGCUUGUUGGGGGGGUAAUGGCCUACCAAGGCGACGCCGGGUAGCCGACCUGAGAGGGGAGUCGGCCACGCUGGGACUGAGGGACGCCCCAGACGCGUACCGUAGGCAGCGGGGCAGAGUGUUACACAGUGAGCUCGAGCCAGAUGUGGCGACGCCGCGUGGGGGAAGACGUGCUUCGGGUGGGAAACCUAUGUGAGCUUCACCGAGGCGAUAGUGACGGUACCUGCAGAAAAAGCACCGGCUAACUACGUG
rnacentral:rRNA from 1 species